rnacentral:rRNA from 1 species
CACGUAAAGCGCAAGCGUUGUCCGGAAUUAUUGGGCGUAAAGAGCUCGUAAGCGGUCUGUUGCGUCCGCUGUGAAAACUCGGGGCUUAACCCCGAGCCUGCAGUGGAUACGGGCAGACUAGAGGUAGGUAGAAGAGAAUGGAAUUCCCGGUGUAGCGGUGAAAUGCGCAGAUAUCAGGAGGAACACCGGUGGCGAAGGCGGCUUUCUGGCCCGUUCUUGACGCUGAGGCGCGAAAGCUAGGGUAGCAAACGGG